rnacentral:lncRNA from 1 species
UUGUCUCUCUUACUUCUCUCUCCUCAUUUUCUCUCUCUAGCUUUUUUGGAGAGAGACUUCGGCGGAUCAUAACUUUUGAUCCGUAACUCCGAUUUAGGAUCCGCAAAAAGCUACGGAUUCGUCUUGAUGUCCUCUUUAUAUCCAUAGAGGUUUGAGCUAGAUCCAACGGUGAUUUCUUGAAUGCUCGUUUUAGGAGGCUCGGUUAAUGAUCGGUAUUCUAAGAGGCGAUUCAGAUUUUCGAGAGAAGUACUUAGGUUUUGACGAGCCUUGAAUGAAGAGCCUAGAAGGAAGAUUUUAUUUACAUUCUGCUUUGUAACACUCACACCUCAGAUUCAGGGUCAGGUGCUUAAAUUCC